UACAACGGCCAUACCACGUUGAAAGCACGCCAUCCCGUUCGAUCUGGCAAGUUAAGCAACGUUGGGCCUGGUUAGUACUUAAAUCGGAGGAUAUAUAUA
rnacentral:rRNA from 1 species